GACGAACGCUGGCGGCGUGCUUAACACAUGCAAGUCGAACGAGGUCCACAGUGUAGCAGUACACCUGAAGACCUAGUGGCGAACGGGUGCGUAACACGUGAGGAACUUGUCCCGGUCUCUGGGAUAACAGUUGGAAACGACUGCUAAUACCGGAUGACGUCGGAGCAUCGCAUGGCGCGCUGACGAAAGGGUUACUGGAUCGGGAGAGCCUCGCGGCCUAUCAGCUUGUUGGUGGGGUAACGGCCCACCAAGGCAUCGACGGGUAGCUGGUCUGAGAGGAUGAUCAGCCACACUGGGACUGAGACACGGCCCAGACUCCUACGGGAGGCAGCAGUGGGGAAUCUUGCGCAAUGGGCGAAAGCCUGACGCAGCAACGCCGCGUGCGGGAUGAAGGCUCUCGGGUUGUAAACCGCUUUCAGCAGGAACGAAAAUGACGGUACUUGCAGAAGAAGGUGCGGCCAACUAUGUGCCAGCCGCCGCCGUAACAC
rnacentral:rRNA from 1 species